GGAUAAUUAACCUCCACUAUCCCACGUCUUUCCAUAUCCUUAAACUCCCUCUCAUCCACGUCUUCUUAUUUUAAUAUUUUUAAAAAGAAAAUCAAAAUUAUCUUCUCAUACUGCUCAGUGAAACUGUGUUCUCUGAGAGUGAAAUUCCACAACUGAAAUUCUUCUGCAUUAUAAGGUACAUGGUUACUGCAUUGUCACGUUGAAGCGCUAAAGGUUGAUAGUCUGCAGAAACUCUGUUCAACAGUGAAUCCAAUACGCCUCCACUUUAUACCAUGCUUCACGAGGGAAGAGCGAAGUUGCGCCAUCAAGAUUUAAGGAUUUGUGAAAGCAAAUGCCUUGAGGUAAACAUAAGAGAUCUUCAAAAUGCAACCGCAAACUUUUGCAGUGGAAGACAAUAUAAGUUUCAGCCCAAUUCUUAAUCACUGUGUAUUACAUGACUUUGGCGAUUUGAUUAAGAAAAAAUUAUCUACUCAGAGAAAUCUGUGAAUGCUGAAUAGGUACCGUGAUACAAGAACUAUUCAUGAUAUCUUUGGCGGUUUGCAAAGCAAGACAGAACGAGUUCAAUCUUCUGGUUUCGAAUUAAGGAAAGGGUGGCGACCCGACAUAGUACAAUAGAAAUCCAAAAAGUCAACUAGCUACUUUCUUUGGAUAACCUGUAGUAAGGAUAUCCUUUAAUUUGAUGCAUAUUACUCAGUAUAGUGAAUGAUAAGAUCAACGAAAAUUGUAAUGUUGGAAUUUGAGCAUGUUCACUAGUUUAUGGGUGUAAUUAUUUUGGAUCCGAAUGGCAUUAAUAACUAUUUGCUAAGGUUGGUUUGAAAAAUUAUCGAAUGUGAAUUUCAAUGAAGUUGAUGUAAAUGAAGCUAUUUAUUGACGA